rnacentral:rRNA from 1 species
UACGUAGGGUCCGAGCGUUGUCCGGAAUUACUGGGCGUAAAGAGCUCGUAGGUGGUUUGUCGCGUUGUUCGUGAAAACUCACAGCUUGACUGUGGGCGUGCGGGCGAUACGGGCAGACUGGAGUACUGCAGGGGAGACUGGAAUUCCUGGUGUAGCGGUGGAAUGCGCAGAUAUCAGGAGGAACACCGGUGGCGAAGGCGGGUCUCUGGGCAGUAACUGACGCUGGAGGAGCGAAAGCGUGGGGAGCGAACAGG